GAACGCUGGCGGCAUGCUUACACAUGCAAGUCGAACGGCAGCACGGGAGCAAUCCUGGUGGCGAGUGGCGAACGGGUGAGUAAUAUAUCGGAACGUGCCCGGUCGUGGGGGAUAACGUAGCGAAAGCUACGCUAAUACCGCAUACGAUCUACGGAUGAAAGCGGGGGAUCGCAAGACCUCGCGCGAUUGGAGCGGCCGAUAUCAGAUUAGGUAGUUGGUGAGGUAAAGGCUCACCAAGCCGACGAUCUGUAGCUGGUCUGAGAGGACGACCAGCCACACUGGGACUGAGACACGGCCCAGACUCCUACGGGAGGCAGCAGUGGGGAAUUUUGGACAAUGGGCGCAAGCCUGAUCCAGCAAUGCCGCGUGCAGGAUGAAGGCCUUCGGGUUGUAAACUGCUUUUGUACGGAACGAAACGGUGAGCUCUAAUACAGUUUGCUAAUGACGGUACCGUAAGAAUAAGCACCGGCUAACUACGUG
rnacentral:rRNA from 1 species